rnacentral:rRNA from 1 species
GUGAGGAAUUUUCCGCAAUGGGCGAAAGCCUGACGGAGCAAUGCCGCGUGAAGGAUGAAGGCCUAUGGGUUGUAAACUUCUUUUCUCAGAAAAGAAUUAUGACGGUAUCUGAGGAAUAAGCAUCGGCUAACUCUGUGCCAGCAGCCGCGGUAAGACAGAGGAUGCAAGCGUUAUCCGGAAUGAUUGGGCGUAAAGCGUCUGUAGGUUGUUUAAAAAGUAUUCUGUCAAAGAUUAGGGCUUAACCCUAGAUAGGCAGAAUAAACUUUGAAGCUAGAGGUUGGUAGAGGCAGAGGGAAUUCCCGGUGGAGCGGUGAAAUGCGUAGAUAUCGGGAGGAACACCAAAGGCGAAGGCACUCUGCUGGGCCAAUACUAACACUGAGAGACGAAAGCGAGGGGAGCAAAUGGGAUUAGAUACCCUUGUAGUCC